UCGAUAAUAGUCUGCCAACGCGCGGUAUAGUCUACUUCAAUGUUGAAAUAAAAGAAUCUUUACGUUUCAAGGUCGCUGAAAUAGGUUUGGAUGUUCCUGACAGCACUAUAGUGCUUUAAAGCGGAGUACUUUGCGGUGGAGUGUGUCUGGUGGAAGGUGGCAGCCCUGGAGGAGUACGUUCGUUAGUCACAACUUGAAAAUCAGAGUGAAGAAGUUGAAAAAGGAGGUCUAGUUUUGGAGUAAAGCUGCACAAAUUAAUCAGAGGGGGU